UAUUGAACAGGGGACCAAGGGGCACGGCCUCCGAAUCAUAACUUCCUAGAUCUGAAAUGCUGGAGGCUGCAAGGGGGAGAGGAACAGGAUGGGGAAA